rnacentral:rRNA from 1 species
CACGUAGGAGGCGAGCGUUGUCCGGAAUCAUUGGGCGUAAAGAGCGCGCAGGCGGCUUGGCAAGUCGGGUGUGAAAUCCCGGGGCUCAACCCCGGGACUGCAUUCGAUACUGUCAGGCUAGAGGUAGGUAGGGGAGAUCGGAAUUCCUGGUGUAGCGGUGAAAUGCGUAGAUAUCUGGAGGAACACCGGUGGCGAAGGCGGCAUCCUGGACCAAUAUUGACGCUGAGGAGCGAAAGCCAGGGGAGCAAACGGG